AGAGAUUUAGGAUAAUACUUUAGACCAAAAGCCUUCAAAGCUUACAGUAGGAGUGAGAAUCUCCUAAUCUCUG
rnacentral:tRNA from 1 species